CAUUUUUCCUGAGUCUCACUCUCACUCUCCAUUUCUUCGGUCAUAUCUCCACCACCACCACCACCACCACCAUCACCAUCACCGUCAAACGACAUCUCUUCUUCUACUACGAUGACCACCAUCACCUUUAUCAUCUCCGUCUUCUCAUAUUCAUCUUCUCUGUUGUUAAAAUUAACUGACCCAUCUAAAUGGAUGAAUCAAACCCUUAGGUAAUGUGUUUUAUCAACUUUCCUUGUUGUUGCCAUUGAUUGACUGUUUUGUGUAUGCAUGUCUGAGAGAGAGAGACAGGGAGGGAAAGCUUAAGGAUGUACAUAUGUUUAGAUCCAUGUGAUGGAUAUGAUAUGAUUAAUUUGAUGGACAACAUGUAAUUGAGGUUUCUCAUAUGAUUUCGGAACUUUGCUCGAGCCAUAGGUUUAUGAAUGACUAAAGAGGGCAGUGAAUAUAUGUAUUGAGUUUCGUGAUUAUACUUCAAAACUACUCCUAUAGUACAAGUUAACUACUAGUAGUUGAAUAGCAUCGGGAAGCAGUGGAGCUGCUAACGAAAUGUUUAAGAUUGAUACAUUCCAGAUAUCGAGAAUUUCAUCUCUUUAAAGUAGUAGUAGAAGAAGAAUAAUAGGUUUUUGGGUAAAGCAUACAUUCCAGAUAUCGAGAAUUCUUCCUCAGAACCACCACCGGCGAAUGGAUAUUGAACAAGUGAUUGAGUUUUUAGCUCAUGUUCCGUUGCUACAGCGGCUUCCGGGUUCAUCUUUUGCUGAGAUCGUAAAAAUAGUGCAGUUCAAACAUUACAACCGUGGCGAGUUCAUCGUUCGGGUGGGAGACGCCGGAGAUGGAAUUUACUUCAUUUGGGAAGGAGUGGUAAGAGAAAUGAAAAUUGAUUCUAUAGGAUUCCUAAUUUUUGGUUUUGGUUAAUUUGUUUAUGCAGAGCUAAUGUUACUAGGGUUCAUUUCAUUGCUACUGACGAUAGGACAAGUGUCCAUCUCAAAGAUUUGCAUCCCACAGAGUGUUGCUAAUACUUGGCAUCCAUGUAGCAAGCAACAAGAAUAUGACUUGUACAACAUUGGCAGCGUCACAACAGCAUUUCAUAAUACUGAUUCCCAUGAAGCACUCCCGGCCGUAGACUUGUCUCUAAUUCAUCGUAUCCACUUUCAAGUCAUUGGCGCGCUUUAGCUGGAGGAGGAGACUAUGAUGGGAAUAAAGUGCCACUUGUGUCACCAUAUGGAAUUCAUCAGCUACAUAUCUUCAUAUUUCUUUCAAUUUUCAGUACUCAUUGGAGUUUGCAUUAGUCACCCUGCAAAAGCUUUCAGCUCCUACUAACGAGGAUGAUGUGAUGGAUACACACAAAAAGUUGAUGAAUGAUCUAGGAAGGAUUUCUCAAGAUGGAUAUAACUCAAAUGUUUCUUUUGUCAAUGCAACAGUCAAGGGUCUGCGCUUUGUUUUGGAGCAGCUUCAGAUAAAACCAUUCGAGGUUUUCUUGCUGGAGAAACUAUGUAUGGUUUGCUGAAGUAACCUUUGCUAGCAGCUGGAAGGCUUGUUCCAGAAACUACAUAAUGAUAUCAUUGCCAUGUGUUUCGCCAGCAUUGCAGAAAUGUCUUAAACAUGAGAGCCGAUAAAAGUUCGCCAACAGUAGUAGGCGCCUCUCUGUGCUGUAACGAUUGUAUAGCCCUGAAAAACCCUAGAUCAAGAACGUUCGUGUCGGGACUUUGUGAAGUUGACUUGGGCAUAUUCAGAGCUUCAGCAAUGGACCUUAUGCUAGUACGUUGUCGCAAUGGUAUUUCCAUAAUCUUGCUUAAAUCAACCUUCCUGGGUUUAGGACCAACUCUGGUUGGUUUUCGUGAAGACACGUCAAAAGGAAAACAAGGGCUUGAAUCCGUCUCCUCCAGCUCUUUGUUGUUCAUACUGAACUUCAUCUCCUCCAGCUCUUUAUUGUUCAUACUGAACUCCAUCUCCUCCAUAUCUUCGUUGUUCAUCAUGUACUCCUCCUCCAGUUCUUCGUUGUUUGUAAUGAACUCAAUCCCAUCCAUCUCCUCGUUGUUCAUCAUGUACUCCUCCAGUUCUUCGUUGUUCGUAAUGAACUCAAUCUCCUCCAGCUCCUCGAUUAUCACCAUCACCUUAAUUAAUUCUAAAGGCUCCCAAAAGAGGUGUAAAGGCCCUAGUUAUAAUGAAUUCUUCAUUACAGUUUGUAAUCCUACAUGUGCAGUGUUUUACAUCUGCUACUAUGCUUCACAACUUAAGAUGAUUUCAAAAUGAGAUGGAGUACAUGCGUACAUAUGAAUCACCUGAAGUUUAUGAGUGAAGAGAGAUCUCAGAUUGAAUCUCCUGAGUGAAGAUAUAUCUCAGAUUAAAUCACCUGAAGAGAGAUCUCAAUUUGAUUUCGGAACCUUGUUUUUGUAAAAACCAAAUUAAUCUGAAGUUCAGUAUACUUUUGAUUUUUCUUGUAGAGAUCAAAGUGAUUUUUAGAAAUUUUGAAAUUCGAACGAAUGAAUAUUGAGAAAUCCGACCAAACAGAUAUGUUGGGUUUCUGUAUUGAAAAUGAAAUUUGGUUUUGUCAGA